ACGAUAUUAGUAAACCAUACUAACUUCCUGUUCAUCAUGUAUCACCAAAAUUCAUAUAAAAUAACUGAAAUAUGAAUUCAACAUAUGUAAACUAUAAAGGAAAAGGUCUUUAGUUAUACAAAUUAAUGGAUUACGUCCUCUAAAUUAAAACUAAGGCUCGUAAUCGGAAUCAUCCGAUGAGUCUUCUUCGGUGUCAGAAUUAAUUUCUGGUAAUAUAUGUCUUUCCUCAUCGCCAAAGUCUUCGUCUGUUUCUUAAUUUGGAUCAACAUCAAUAAGCCUUGGCUCUUCAUCACGAAUUCGCACCGAACGACCCGCUUUAAAAUUAUUAAGGCGAACGGUAGAGGAGUUAGGAAUACCUAUUGCGUUGGGCUCUUGAUACGCAACAUCCUCUUCUUCGUCUUCGGCCUCUCCAAGUGUAGCCGCCCGGUAAAUGUUUCGAGGGUGCACAAGGUUGACUACUUUCCACGCGUCACCCUAAGCAAGGUCAUCAAGAUAAAACACUUGUUUUACUGAUAUGGCAAAAACGAACGGGUCAUCUUCGUAAGAACUUGUAGCAGUGUUCACCGAUAAUAUUCCGUACUGAUCGGUCUUCAUGCCCUGCGGCCUAGUAUUAAACCAUCUACACUUGAAGAGGUGCACUGUCAUGUCUUGCCCAUAAAUGAGUUCCACCACUGAAUGGAGAACACCGUAAUAGUCAACCCCAUUCCGCCCACCAUGUGCCAUGACCCCAGAAUUCUAUGUUCUCCUUCUGCUGUCUCUUUGUUCGCAUAUAAAUUGCACGCCAUUCACCUUGCACAUCGGAUAAACUCUUGACAUUAUCGGCUUCAUCGCUAGAAGUCUUAGUUCGUGCGACCAAUUUGGAUGACCAUCAAAUUGAAUAUGGUUCAUCUGCAACCAACCAUUCAACUGUAAAUAUGGAUAAUUAUGCAAUAAACAUAAACACGUACAGAAAAAUUAAAUUACGUACUCAGCCGCCAAAAUAAUCUGCGAACUCCCUGUUGUGGUACUCGAGAUCACCUUGAAUGUCUGGACAAUAUAGAUGGAUGUCUUUCCAGUAUUCAACUUCUGGACAGUUAAUCAAUACCCACCAGUGGGCAAUGACUAGCU
rnacentral:lncRNA from 1 species